UGACCAACUCCUCUUUAUAGAGGGUCUUGGGCUUCGCCUCUGGGCGGGCCUCAAAAUCAGUGGCGGUGCUGUUAGGCUCUACGCGUAGUAAUAUCUCUCGCGACAGACCCCUAAUGGUUACUUGCCAGCAACCCCCAACUUCUUAA
rnacentral:misc_RNA from 1 species